rnacentral:rRNA from 1 species
AGUGAACGCUGGCGGUAGGCCUAACACAUGCAAGUCGAACGGCAGCACAGGAGAGCUUGCUCUCUGGGUGGCGAGUGGCGGACGGGUGAGGAAUACAUCGGAAUCUACCUUUUCGUGGGGGAUAACGUAGGGAAACUUACGCUAAUACCGCAUACGACCUACGGGUGAAAGUGGGGGACCGCAAGGCCUCACGCGAUUAGAUGAGCCGAUGUCCGAUUAGCUAGUUGGCGGGGUAAUGGCCCACCAAGGCGACGAUCGGUAGCUGGUCUGAGAGGAUGAUCAGCCACACUGGAACUGAGACACGGUCCAGACUCCUACGGGAGGCAGCAGUGGGGAAUAUUGGACAAUGGGCGCAAGCCUGAUCCAGCCAUACCGCGUGGGUGAAGAAGGCCUUCGGGUUGUAAAGCCCUUUUGUUGGGAAAGAAAUCCUAUCGGUUAAUAACCGGUGGGGAUGACGGUACCCAAAGAAUAAGCACCGGCUAACUACGUGCCAGCAGCCGCAGUAAUAC